ensembl:misc_RNA 7SK 7SK RNA
GGAAGUGAGGGCGAUCUGUCUGCGACAUCUGUCACCCCAUUGAUCGCCAGGGUUGAUUCAGCUCAUCUGGCUGGCUAGGCGGGUGUCCCCUUCCUCCCUCACCGCUCCAUGUGCGUCCCUCCCGAAGCUCAUUUGAAGAUGACACCCUUCCCCAAACAGAGACGGACCCCGGUCUUCAGUAGAGGGUGCACGAGUAGCUGCGCUCCCCUGCUAGAAGCCCCAAACAAGCUCUCAAGUUGGGAUUCUUGCUCUUACCCAUUCAGUGCACU